rnacentral:rRNA from 1 species
AUUGAACGCUGGCGGCAGGCCUAACACAUGCAAGUCGAACGAGUGGCGGACGGGUGAGUAAUGUCUGGGAAACUGCCCGAUGGAGGGGGAUAACUACUGGAAACGGUAGCUAAUACCGCAUACCAUUGGAUGUGCCCAGAUGGGAUUAGCUAGUAGGUGGGGUAAUGGUCCACCUAGGCGACGAUCCCUUGCUUGUCUGAGAGGAUGACCAGCCAAACUGGAACUGAGACACGGUCCAGACUCCUACGGGAGGCAGCAGUGGGGAAUAUUGCACAAUGGGCGCAAGCCUGAUGCAGCCAUGCCGCGUGUAUGAAGAAGGCCUUCGGGUUGUAAAGUACUUUCAGCGGGGAGGCGUUACCCGCAGAAGAAGCACCGGCUAACUCCGUGCCAGCAGCCGCGGUAAUUC